rnacentral:rRNA from 1 species
CAAGCGGUGGAGCAUGUGGUUUAAUUCGAAGCAACGCGAAGUAACCUUACCAGGUCUUGACAUCCCGAUGCUAUUUCUAGAGAUAGAAAGUUACUUCGGUACAUCGGUGACAGGUGGUGCAUGGUUGUCGUCAGCUCGUGUCGUGAGAUGUUGGGUUAAGUCCCCGCAACGAGCGCAACCCCUAUUGUUAGUUGCCAUCAUUCAGUUGGGCACUCUAGCGAGACUGCCGGUAAUAAACCGGAGGAAGGUGGGGAUGACGUCAAAUCAUCAUGCCCCUUAUGACCUGGGCUACACACGUGCUACAAUGGUUGGUACAACGAGUUGCGAGUCGGUGACGGCGAGCUAAUCUCUUAAAGCCAAUCUCAGUUCGGAUUGUAGGCUGCAACUCGCCUACAUGAAGUCGGAAUCGCUAGUAAUCGCGGAUCAGCACGCCGCGGUGAAUACGUUCCCGGGCCUU